UGUAACGGCCCGGAAACCGAUACCCCUCUGUAACGGCCCGAACCAUCACCGGCGCUAGGAUCCAGAUCGGCUUAAGGCCGCCGGGACCCGUAGCAAGCCAACAUACAUACUAUCACCUGGUCAAAUCCCACACAUGAUCAAAACUUAAACAUAAAGCCUGAAAUCUGAACAUACACCAAGCUUGAUCCGUAUGCUACAACAUAACUGUGAACAUACACUUCCCC
rnacentral:lncRNA from 1 species